UACGGAGGGUCCAAGCGUUAUCCGGAAUCAUUGGGUGUAAAGGGUGCGUAGGCGGGUUAAUAAGUCAGUGGUGAAAGUCUGCCGCUCAACUGUAGAAUUGCCAUUGAUACUGUUGACCUUGAGUACUGAUGAAGUGGUUAGAAUAUGUAGUGUAGCGGUGAAAUGCAUAGAUAUUACGUAGAAUACCGAUUGCGAAGGCAGAUCACUAAUAAUUUACUGACGCUGAGGGACGAAAGCGUAGGUAGCGAACAGG
rnacentral:misc_RNA from 1 species